AAGCCAUUCAGGGCUCAUCCGGAAUCCAGGAAGUGUUUGGAUAUUGGAAAAACAAAAACAAAAAAAAACCUUUGUUCUGUAAGACAGUAUAGAAAGUUGGGAGAAAGGUCUACUCCAGGAUCAAGGAACUGGACCAACAGGACCCAAGGGAGAGUAUCAAAGGCAAAACAAAGGAAAAUGAGGACAACCCAAUACUCAGAAAAAAAAACGAGUAAUUCAUGGAUUCACAACGGGCAACAAACUAGAUGACUAUUAGGAAGAGAAGAGCAAACCUUAUGAUCUCAAAAUGAUUUCUUGUUCAUUUGCAUCCUCGCAUCAAUCUAGACUUUAAGAAAUAUGUGAUUUUUAAAUAAAUGGGUAUAUCUGCAUAAUA
rnacentral:lncRNA from 1 species